UACGGAGGGUGCAAGCGUUAUCCGGAUUCACUGGGUUUAAAGGGUGCGUAGGUGGUCAUGUAAGUCAGUGGUGAAAUCUCCGUGCUUAACAUGGAAACUGCCAUUGAUACUAUGUUUCUUGAAUUUUCUGGAGGUAAGCGGAAUAUGUCAUGUAGCGGUGAAAUGCUUAGAUAUGACAUAGAACACCAAUUGCGAAGGCAGCUUACUACAGGGAUAUUGACACUGAGGCACGAAAGCGUGGGGAUCAAACAGG
rnacentral:rRNA from 1 species